AAUAGAUACCCGGUAGUCCACACCGUAAACGAUGAGCGCUAGGUGUUGGGGGUCGAACCUCAGUGCCGCAGCUAACGCAUUAAGCGCUCCGCCUGGGGAGUACGCACGCAAGUGUGAAACUCAAAGGAAUUGACGGGGGACCCGCACAAGCAGCGGAGCAUGUGGUUUAAUUCGAAGCAACGCGAAGAACCUUACCUGGGCUUGACAUCCCCCUGACCGCUCCUUAACCGGAGCCUUCCCUUCGGGGGCAGAGGUGACAGGUGGUGCAUGGUUGUCGUCAGCUCGUGUCGUGAGAUGUUGGGUUAAGUCCCGCAACGAGCGCAACCCUCGUCUUUAGUUGCCAUCAGUUCGGCUGGGCACUCUAGAGAGACUGCCGGGGAUAACUCGGAGGAAGGUGGGGAUGACGUCAAAUCAUCAUGCCCCUUAUGUUCAGGGCUACACACGUGCUACAAUGGCCAAUACAAAGGGUUGCCAAGGAGUAAUCUGGAGCUAAUCCCAUAAAGUUGGUCCCAGUUCGGAUUGUGGCUGAAACUCGCCA
rnacentral:rRNA from 1 species